GUUGACCCCUAACCCUGUAUCUCUCUCUAUCAGGUCCAGUUGACCCCUAACCCUGUAUCUCUCUCUAUCAGGUCCAGUUGACCUCUAACCCUGUAUCUCUCUCUAUCAGGUCCAGUUGACCCCUAACCCUGUAUCUCUCUCUAUCAGGUCCAGUUGACCCCUAACCCUGUAUCUCUCUCUAUCAGGUCCAGUUGACCCCUAACCCUGUAUCUCUCUCUAUCAGGUCCAGUUGACCUCUAACCCUGUAUCUCUCUCUAUCAGGUCCAGUUGACCCCUAACCCUGUAUCUCUCUCUAUCAGGUCCAGCUGACCCCUAACCCUGUAUCUCUCUCUAUCAGGUCCAGUUGACCCUGUAUCUCUCUCUAUCAGGUCCAGUUGACCUCUAACCCUGUAUCUCUCUCUAUCAGGUCCAGUUGACCCCUAACCCUGUAUCUCUCUCUAUCAGGUCCAGUUGACCCCUAACCCUGUAUCUCUCUCUAUCAGGUCCAGUUGACCCCUAACCCUGUAUCUCUCUCUAUCAGGUCCAGUUGACCCCUAACCCUGUAUCUCUCUCUAUCAGGUCCAGUUGACCCCUAACCCUG